rnacentral:rRNA from 1 species
GACGAACGCUGGCGGCGUGCUUAACACAUGCAAGUCGAACGAAGAGCGAUGGAAGCUUGCUUCUAUCAAUCUUAGUGGCGAACGGGUGAGUAACGCGUAAUCAACCUGCCCUUCAGAGGGGGACACAGUUGGAAACGACUGCUAAUACCGCAUACGAUCUAAUCUCGGCAUCGAGGAAGAUGAAAGGUGGCCUCUACAUUAAGCUAUCACUGAAGGAGGGGAUUGCGUCUGAUUAGCUAGUUGGAGGGGUAACGGCCCACCAAGGCGAUGAUCAGUAGCCGGUCUGAGAGGAUGAACGGCCACAUUGGGACUGAGACACGGCCCAGACUCCUACGGGAGGCAGCAGUGGGGAAUCUUCCGCAAUGGACGAAAGUCUGACGGAGCAACGCCGCGUGAGUGAUGACGGCCUUCGGGUUGUAAAGCUCUGUUAAUCGGGACGAAAGGCCUUCUUGCGAA